rnacentral:rRNA from 1 species
AACGAACGCUGGCGGCAUGCCUAACACAUGCAAGUCGAACGAAGCCUUCGGGCUUAGUGGCGCACGGGUGCGUAACGCGUGGGAAUCUGCCCCUUGCUUCGGAAUAACAGUUAGAAAUGACUGCUAAUACCGGAUGAAGUCUUCGGACCAAAGAUUUAUCGGCAAGGGAUGAGCCCGCGUAGGAUUAGGUAGUUGGGGGGGUAAAGGCCUACCAAGCCGACGAUCCUUAGCUGGUCUGAGAGGAUGAUCAGCCACACUGGGACUGAGACACGGCCCAGACUCCUACGGGAGGCAGCAGUGGGGAAUAUUGGAGAAUGGACGCAAGUCUGAUCCAGCAAUGCCGCGUGAGUGAUGAAGGCCUUAGGGUUGUAAAGCUCUUUUACCAGGGAUGAUAAUGACGGUACCUGGAGAAUAAGCACCGGCUAACUCCGUG